AACGUAGGGGGCCAGCGUUGCUCGGAAUGACUGGGCGUAAAGGGUCCGUAGGCGGUGUGGCAAGUCGGAAGUGAAAUCCCGGGGCUUAACUCCGGGGCUGCUUCCGAAACUGCCACGCUGGAGUGCGGGAGAGGGGAGUGGAAUUGCCGGUGUAGCGGUGAAAUGCGUAGAUAUCGGCAGGAACACCGGAGGCGAAGGCGGCUCCCUGGACCGCAACUGACGCUGAGGGACGAAAGCUGGGGGAGCAAACAGG
rnacentral:rRNA from 1 species